rnacentral:rRNA from 1 species
CCUACGGGGUGCAGCAGUAGGGAAUAUUGCUCAAUGGGGGAAACCCUGAAGCAGCAACGCCGCGUGGAGGAUGAAGGUUUUCGGAUUGUAAACUCCUUUUGUUAGAGAAGAUAAUGACGGUAUCUAACGAAUAAGCACCGGCUAACACCGUGUCAGCAGCCGCGGUAAUACGGAGGGUGCAAGCGUUACUCGGAACCCCGGGGCGGAAAGAGCGCGUAGGCGGGAUAGCAAGUCAGAUGUGAAAUCCUAUGGCUUAACCAUAGAACUGCAUUUGAAACUGUUAUUCUAGAGUAUGGGAGAGGUAGGUGGAAGUCUUGGUGUAGGGGUGAAAUGCGUAGAGAUAAGGAGGAAUACUCAUUGCGAAGGCGACCUGCUAGAACAUAACUGACGCUGAUGCGCGAAAGCGUGGGGAGCAAACAGGAUUAGAUACCCUUGUAGUC